ACGAACGCUGGCGGCACGCUUAACACAUGCAAGUCGAACGAGAGAAGAGGAGCUUGCUUUUCUGAUCUAGUGGCGGACGGGUGAGUAACACGUGAGCAAUCUGCCUUUCAGAGGGGGAUACCGAUUGGAAACGAUCGUUAAUACCGCAUAACAUAAUUGAACCGCAUGAUUUGAUUAUCAAAGAUUUAUCGCUGAAAGAUGAGCUCGCGUCUGAUUAGCUAGUUGGUAAGGUAACGGCUUACCAAGGCGACGAUCAGUAGCCGGACUGAGAGGUUGAUCGGCCACAUUGGGACUGAGACACGGCCCAGACUCCUACGGGAGGCAGCAGUGGGGAAUAUUGCACAAUGGAGGAAACUCUGAUGCAGCGAUGCCGCGUGAGGGAAGAAGGUUUUAGGAUUGUAAACCUCUGUCUUCAGGGACGAAAAAUGACGGUACCUGAGGAGGAAGCUCCGGCUAACUACGUGCCAGCAGCCGCGGUAAUACGUAGGGAGCGAGCGUUGUCCGGAAUUACUGGGUGUAAAGGGAGCGUAGGCGGGAUCGCAAGUCAGAUGUGAAAACUAUGGGCUUAACCCAUAAACUGCAUUUGAAACUGUGGUUCUUGAGUGAAGUAGAGGUAAGCGGAAUUCCUAGUGUAGCGGUGAAAUGCGUAGAUAUUAGGAGGAACAUCAGUGGCGAAGGCUGCUUACUGGGCUUUAGCUGACGCUGAGGCUCGAAAGCGUGGGGAGCAAACAGGAUUAGAUACCCUGGUAGUCCACGCCGUAAACGAUGAUUACUAGGUGUGGGGGGACUGACCCCUUCCGUGCCGCAGCAAACGCAAUAAGUAAUCCACCUGGGGAGUACGACCGCAAGGUUGAAACUCAAAGGAAUUGACGGGGGCCCGCACAAGCAGUGGAGUAUGUGGAUUAAUUCGAAGCAACGCGAAGAACCUUACCAGGUCUUGACAUCGUAUGCAUAGCUCAGAGAUGAGUGAAAUCUCUUCGGAGACAUAUAGACAGGUGGUGCAUGGUUGUCGUCAGCUCGUGUCGUGAGAUGUUGGGUUAAGUCCCGCAACGAGCGCAACCCUUACUGUUAGUUGCUACGCAAGAGCACUCUAGCAGGACUGCCGUUGACAAAACGGAGGAAGGUGGGGAUGACGUCAAAUCAUCAUGCCCCUUAUGACCUGGGCCUCACACGUACUACAAUGGCUGUCAACAGAGGGAAGCAAAGCCGCGAGGUGGAGCAAACCCCUAAAAGCAGUCUUAGUUCGGAUUGUAGGCUGCAACCCGCCUACAUGAAGUCGGAAUUGCUAGUAAUCGCAGAUCAGCAUGCUGCGGUGAAUACGUUCCCGGGCCUUGUACACACCGCCCGUCACGCCAUGGGAGUCGGUAACACCCGAAGCCUGUAGUCUAACCGCAAGGAGGACGCAGUCGAAGGUGGGAUUGAUGACUGGGGUG
rnacentral:rRNA from 1 species